rnacentral:lncRNA from 1 species
AUGCGGGGAUUUGGGACGGCUGAAGGACUCGGGGCCCCAACCGCCGCAGCGCUGCUGCCCGCAUCCGGCAGCACGACCCUAAUCCCCCCGAGCCCUCCAGCGCUGCUCCCGGUGCCCCACGGGGCUGAGGUACAGAAAUUGUUUAAUAAUGACUUUGGAGAAGGUUUCCCUAUCCAGUCUCCUGAUCAGGAAGAAAGAAGAAGGUUUUUGGAGGACUUAAUCACGAGAGGAGCUGCUGUUGAUCCUCCACUUCCAAGAAGCAAGCAGCUUUAGGCUGGGCAGACACGGGAAGCACUGCCUGCAGCAGCAGCAGCUGAGCUCCGUGUGCCAGAGGAAGGAAUGCGGCGUCUGGAGGAGCAGGAGGAGGAGACCCCGCGUGACUCUGCGUGUUCUGCAGGGCCGUUCCUCACAGACUGCCACUGACAGACGUUUGGGGCACUGCAGAGCCUGUUGGUGCGGAUGAGGUAAAGCAGUGUUGAUCUGUA